rnacentral:rRNA from 1 species
UACGUAGGGUGCGAGCGUUAUCCGGAAUCAUUGGGCGUAAAGAGCUCGUAGGCGGUUCAGCAAGUCGGCUGUGAAAGUCCGAGGCGCAACCUCGGAAUUGCAGUCGAUACUGCUGUGACUCGAGUCCGGUAGAGGAGAACGGAAUUCCCAGUGUAGCGGUCAAAUGCGCAGAUAUCGGGAGGAACACCAGUAGCGAAGGUGGUUCUCUGGGCCGGCACUGACGCUGAGGAGCGAAAGCGUGGGGAGCGAACAGG